CACACGAGUUGCGGACAGAUAAAAUGAAUGUGGGAAUCGAUUCCACCGGCGGUGACAAUCUUCCCUUCGCCGGCGAUCACUUCCGUUCCUGCUCCUACCACGAGUCCUGCCGUUACUCCAGUCAUGAUGUCCGGAUUUCCCGAUUUACCAAUCCCAGCGAUGCGCCCGCCGCGAAUGCCGAUGUCCGCUUUAACGAUUCCCCAAUGGUCGAUGAUGAUGGCGUUUGUGAUGACGAGGUCCAGGGAGCCCUCUGCGGAAGUAGCUGUUGCGGACUGGCCCAUUCCGUCGCGAAG
rnacentral:sRNA from 1 species